GCUUAGAGGAUGCCUGGGAUGUGUUUGACAGAGCUGCACUGAGCUUGGCAAUAUCCCCUGACUUCUCACAUAAGAGCAGCAAAUAUUUCAGUCUCUGGUCUUUCUACAAAGAUUAACAAAUGAUCUCUCUGCUAUGAUCUCCCUAACUUUUUAAAGGUCUUUAACUAAAGACCUAAAGUGCUUUCUGUCUUGAUGGCAUCCUGCAAUACUGUGAGAUGGUGGCACGACAAACCUCAUCCCAAACCAUGCAGCAUAUGGAGUUCCUAUAGGUGUGAGUCACACAUUCUGGAGCUGACAUGACACUUCUGUUCAGAUGGCUGCAGCAUCCUCCAGCAUUUUACAGUACCAUCUAUCCCAAUACAUGUGUGUGGAAGACAAUACUCACGUGAGUCAGGAACACAAAACCUAUUCAGCAAAGUGUUCCUUCCAUGUUCUGUGGACAUCUGGCAGCUCUCUUCCCCUCCUGCUGAAACUCUAAGUACUACCAAGUGAAAAGUAGAGCGACCUAUUUUCCUAUUUUUUCUAUUUUUCCUGCCAGUUUGUUAUUCUUCUCUGUCAUGUGGAGCAUCCUUAAGGUUUACAACUGGAAAGUCCUGUGUUCAGAAGGGAACAGGCAAUGAUGUGCUCCCUGCUAAUCUGCUGAAACUAUUGGCCUGCCUGUUGUCUGUAUCCAGAACCAGCAUUUUUUGCUCAAGGCUCUGAUCAGCAUCCUCCCUGUAUUAUUAUCUUGGGAAAUAAGCUCCUACACAGUAAGGGUAAAUUGUGAAAUUGUCUCACCAAAGAAGGGCAAGGGAGCUGGGGAAGGGUCUGGGGCAAACGUCUACUGAGGAGCAGCUGAUGGAUCUGGGGGUGGUUAUUCUGGAGAAAAGGAGGCUCGGGGGGGGGACAUUAUCACUCUCUACAACUGCAUCAAAGGAAGCUGUAAAAAGGAGUUCAGUCUCUUCUCCCACAUAAAAAGUGUCAGAACAAGAGUAAAUGGCCUCAAGCUGAAAAGUUGUAUAUAAAUUUGAAUUCUAUAUGUGUUUACUCAUUCACUUCAAUAAUGAAAAACAUGUUAUAAGUGUUUCUAAUUACAUGAUUUUGAACAAAAAUAUUACAGUAUCCUGUCAAACAAAUCUCAGAAUUCUCUACUACAUGUGUACUUGUUGACAAACAAUAAUAAACCAAUUAUUGUUUUAGUUCUUGGUGAACAUUUAAUAGAAUUCACAUCCCUUACAUAGCAAAUACACACAUAUAUGAGAUUGACAUAAAUUACUCAAUAACAGAUUGUAAAUUCUCUCUCCCUCUCUCUCCUUCUCUUUCUUUCUUUAAUUCAUCCUUCCUUUCUUUCUUGUCUUUCACCCUACCCCUUUAUCCAAAACAUGCUGUUAUGUGCUUAUACAGUAAUCCAGGGACUAAUACCAAUUUCCAUGUCAAGUGUAUAACUUACUGAUAAACUGAGAGGUUUUGCAGAUUUUGUAUAUAUGUAACAAUUUAUUGUUCAUUUUUAUAUUAUGUAUACUCUUUAUAUCUAAUUAAAAUCAUGUCUGGUUAAUAUUUUUUUUCUGUCACUGCUGUUACAGUCUUAAAAUAUAUAUUUUCACAUGAGUUGCAACUGUCUGCAGAUGCCUUACAGUGUACAAGCCUACAUCUAGACAAGUCACCUUCAGUCAUUUUUAUAGGCAAUAAAAAAUAAUAGACAUUUCCACAGUUCAGUUUCCUCUCACACUUGAAGUGUGCAGUGCAGAGGUCUCCUCUUUUGCUGCCAAAAACCUUUAGCAAGGAUACUAAAACUUCUUUGUCUCACUUAUAUUGUCACAAAAGUUCUUCUGAGCAUGUUUCUCAGCAGAAGAAAAUCCUUUUCUUCAAGACCCUCCUGGUUUUUUUCACUGUUCUAAAUUCAGCAGCUCUCCAGGGAGACUUCUGAUAGCAUCCUUGCCCCAUGCAAGGAGCUGGUGCAGAAGCUGUGGAUGAACUGAUUUUCUCAAAGUUGUUGGACAACUGACAAUGUCAGCAAUGCCCAGAAGGACUCCAAGAGACAAAGGUCAACUUCCCAUUUUAGGAAAACACUGUGAAAAGACUUUGAAAUUAGGAGCAUUUCCAGACUUCAGUGCAUGAACACGUCUGACUCGUUGCUGGCAGCUGCCUGCAGAGGUUACUGGAGGCUGCCUGCAGUGGAUGGUGGCAGCCACGCCAGAGAUGUCCUGAAGAACUCCAAGACCUGCUGGGCAAAAGGUCCAUGUGAAAUUCAUGAGUACUCCAAAAAAAGUUUGGAAAAUUGAGAAAACGUUGUACAAUGGCCAAAGCCAGUGAUAAUUUCUGACAUGUUGUAAUAGAAGUGAAAAGAUGUAGUAAUUUUAUUGAUAAAAUCAGUUCUUUUGCUAAAAUAGUCCAGUGGUUGAUCUAUGAACACAAACUGAAAUGGUGACCAAGGGAAAUGGGAGACAGGGAAUGUCCCUCUGUUGACAGCUACAUUCAUCCAUUCAUCUUUGGGUUUACAAGAGAUUCUUUAUG